rnacentral:rRNA from 1 species
CGCGUAGGCGGUUUAGUAAGUCGGAUGUGAAAUCCCCGGGCUUAACCUGGGAACUGCAUUCGAUACUGCUUGACUAGAGUAUGGUAGAGGGAAGUGGAAUUCCGGGUGUAGCGGUGAAAUGCGUAGAUAUCCGGAGGAACACCAGUGGCGAAGGCGACUUCCUGGGCCAAUACUGACGCUGAGGUGCGAAAGCGUGGGGAGCAAACA